rnacentral:rRNA from 1 species
GACGAACGCUGGCGGCGUGCUUAACACAUGCAAGUCGAACGGAAAGGCCCUGCUUUUGUGGGGUGCUCGAGUGGCGAACGGGUGAGUAACACGUGAGUAACCUGCCCUUGACUUUGGGAUAACUUCAGGAAACUGGGGCUAAUACCGGAUAGGAGCUCCUGCUGCAUGGUGGGGGUUGGAAAGUUUCGGCGGUUGGGGAUAGACUCGCGGCUUAUCAGCUUGUUGGUGGGGUAGUGGCUUACCAAGGCUUUGACGGGUAGCCGGCCUGAGAGGGUGACCGGCCACAUUGGGACUGAGAUACGGCCCAGACUCCUACGGGAGGCAGCAGUGGGGAAUAUUGCACAAUGGGCGGAAGCCUGAUGCAGCAACGCCGCGUGCGGGAUGACGGCCUUCGGGUUGUAAACCGCUUUCGCCUGUGACGAAGCGUGAGUGACGGUAAUGGGUAAAGAAGCACCGGCUAACUACGU